CAGAGUUUAUAGGAUUUUCUAUGUACACUAUCAUCUCGUCUGCAAAAAAUGACAGUUUUACUUCCUUCUUUCCAAUUUGUAUGCCUCUUAUUUCUUUUUCUUGUCUGAUGGCAGUGGCCAGAACUUCCAAUACUAAGUUGAAUUAAAGCAGUAAAAGCAGACAUCCUUGUCUU